rnacentral:rRNA from 1 species
AACGAACGCUGGCGGCAUGCCUAACACAUGCAAGUCGAACGGGACCUUCGGGUCUAGUGGCGCACGGGUGCGUAACGCGUGGGAACCUGCCCUUAGGUGCGGAAUAACUCCCCGCAAGGGGUGCUAAUACAGGCUAAUGUCUUCGGACCAAAGAUUUAUCGCCUUUGGAUGGGCCCGCGUUGGAUUAGCUAGUUGGUAGGGUAAAAGCCUACCAAGGCGACGAUCCAUAGCUGGUCUGAGAGGAUGAUCAGCCACACUGGGACUGAGACACGGCCCAGACUCCUACGGGAGGCAGCAGUGGGGAAUAUUGGACAAUGGGCGAAAGCCUGAUCCAGCAAUGCCGCGUGAGUGAUGAAGGCCUUAGGGUUGUAAAGCUCUUUUACCCGGGAUGAUAAUGACAGUACCGGGAGAAUAAGCUCCGGCUAACUCCGUG